UCCGUGAACCUCGCAGUCGAAGGUCGUUUCUUUCCACUGUCGUCGGAUCCCGAAUCUUGCAUUUCUCGACGUCGAUGGCGGCCAUGGAGGAGUUGAGUUAGCUCGCGCAGACCACAAGUCGCCGCCCUCCUCGCGGACGAGGACUUCGAUGAAAGAUCGUACAAGCGGCGGAUUUCCACCUUCCUCAACGUCGUCGUUCUCGGCAACGUUGGUGCUGAUAAAUCAGCAAUGUAGAACAGCUUGAUCGGACAUUCCGUAUUGGUAUGGUGAACUUGGAAUUGUACUUCUAGUUUGUUCAUGUUUCAUCAUUUGCGACCUGCACCUUUCUGUUGAUUCGAGAGGCAUUAAUUGUUUACUGAAAUCAACUGGAGAAAAUGGUUUCACUCGGUCUCUUGAGAUGGCUCUAUCAGUGUUGAUUUGCAAAGAGAUGGCUCUCUGAGCAGUAAAUCAAUCAUCCUGCAAAUAGAUGACAAAUCCCAACAGGUUUCUGCAAGACCAGCUAAGCAAGGGCACAGAAGCUCAUAGUUCAGUAAAGAGCCGUGCAGCUGUGAUCUAUAUGAAACCCUGGACGGGUACAGGCAAUGGGGUUAUAUAAUAUUAUUUGUUUAAGGACAGUGAUUACGGUGCACAUACUGAUGCAGAAGAUUACAAGUCCCAGAUUGUUCAUGAUGAUUGUUUAGGCUUGGAGAACAAAUGGUGCAAAGUGCUGAAGGUACCAGGGCUAUUGCACUAGAGCUAUGUCAAGAAUUUAAAGGUAAGUUUCUUCAGCACAUUGCUACUGGUGAGAUCAGCGGUUGUCAUUUUUUCUUUAUAGUUUUAAUUUUAUCAUGCUCUAUGCAUACAACUUCAGUUCUCCUCUACUAUCGGUUUUCAUCCCAGGCAACUGUUUCUCUAUUAUUUAGUAUGUACUGGAAAUUUCUUCUUGUUGCUUGGUGACCGUGUUUCUCUAGGUUGUUAUGUAAUCUCUGUAUUGAUUCAAAUUGGCUUUUUGCCCCUUCGAAUCUGGUGCUACCUGAUCUUCAUGUAGAUUUUUAUAUUUUAAGAAUGAAAAUCAUGAAUGUCAUCUCGUGUUGUUAAAACCCAGUGUGCCUAAUCAUUUCCUAGGCUAGAUGACAGCUGUUUGUGCCUCUUCUUGCCAGAUUAUAUACUAGUAUGAAGUAAUCCAUGUUUCUAUAAAAUUUAUGACAGAAUUUUGAUGGCAGAUUACCUCCUAUGUUUUGUCUCUGCAUUAAAUGACUAUCUCUAUCUGCAACAACUGGCAUAGACUGAUACAGAAGGAUACUGUGAAAAUAUAUCAUAUGCACCUGAUGUACUUCAACAUUAUGGAUAGGGACCAACCCUAAAAGAUAACAGUCAUGCCAUUCUCACUUACAUAUCUUCAUUUCUACACUUGUUGACUCUCAUGACUUCAAAUUGUAGUUAAAUUUAUUUUGUGAUUCUUAUGGUCGACAACUUUGAGGUGUUGAGGCCGAAGACUAUAGGGUUGCAAACAAACUAUAACUAAUAAUGUCAUUACAAAAGAAAAAUGAAAGGGGGUUGCCCAGUACACAAGGCUGAUGCCAAAGUGGGUGAGCUUUUUAUUUUUUGGGGUAAUGAGGGAAGUGGGUUAAUAUAGGCAGUUCUACCUCUGUAGCACAGGGACUGCUUCUGUGAUUCAAACAGUGGUCACCCAUGUCACAAAGGAGGGAGGGCAGAGGUGCCUUGAUACAAAUAGUCAUGACCCAAAUUGGCCUAAUAAGCCAUUUAUUUAUAUGAAGUGAACUUGACUAAUCAAUAGAAGUCAAAGCUAAGAAGAAGCUGAGCCAAGGAAAUAGAACACUUGAAAAAAAAUUGUCGGAUCUGUAUUAAUUUCCUCCAGCACACAUGUAGCUGAGCCUCUUCGCACUAAAAACAAAAGAAACAAGAGAAGCUGCCCGUUCCUGUUGUUUAAAUGCACUAGAUUUGACCUACUAACUAUUACCAUUUUUUUCAUGUCUAGUAGAUUUCUCUUUCUUCCGUUUUUGAUGGUUUAUCUUAAGCUAUAAUCUGUUUUAAUCCCUUCAUAUUCUGUUUAUUCAGAAAGGAUUUUUAUACUAUUCCAACAAAAUUGAAAAAUGCAACUAAUGAAAGUUGAGUCCUAUUAUUUGCAAUAUAGCAAAUGUUGCAUUUUAUGUACAGGAUGCGGGUUAGAAGGUUGUUUCAUCAUUUGAAUGAAAUUUUCCUGGCAGAAUGAAGCAGUUCCUGUUGGAUAGAUUUUUUGAUAUCAACAAUGUUAAAGGGAUAAACUUGCCUUGUGUUAUCUUUUAUAAGAUUUGUUACAUCUGUCCGUGUUGUUAAUUGCUCUGCAUAAUAAUUGUGCCUUCUAGAUUGUUUUGGAGGCUGAUGGUUAUUAGCCAUAUUUGAUAUCUCCGUGGAAAAGUUUGAUAUAUUUAAUAUUAAUUAAACUUAUGUUGAA